GCCUUCUGAAGUGGCCCAGUCAGAGUCCUGACCUCAACCCGAUUGAGAUGCUGUGGCAUGACUUCAAGAAAGAGAUUCACACCAGACAUCCCAAGAAUAUUGCUGAACUGAAACAGUUCUGUAAAGAGGAAUGGUCAAGAAUUACUCCUGACCGUUGUGCACGUCUGAUCUGCAACUACAGGAAACAUUUGGUUGAAGUUAUUGCUGCCAAAGGAGGUUCAACCAGUUUUUAAAUCCAAG
rnacentral:lncRNA from 1 species